rnacentral:tRNA from 1 species
GGGAGUGUAGCACAGUCUGGCUAGUGCAUUCCGCCGAUGUCGGAAAGGUCGCAGGUUCAAAUCCUGUCACUCUCA